GACGAACCGUGCGAACGUUAUUCGGAAUCACUGGGCUUAAAGGGUAUGUAGGCGGUCUGCCAAGUCAGGGGUGAAAUCCUUCGGCUCAACCGGAGAACUGCCCCUGAUACUGGCGGGCUCGAGGGAGAUAGAGGCAGCCGGAACUACCGGUGGAGCGGUGAAAUGCGUUGAUAUCGGUAGGAACGCCAGAGGCGAAAGCGGGCUGCUGGAUCUCAUCUGACGCUGAUACACGAAAGCUAGGGGAGCGAACGGG
rnacentral:rRNA from 1 species